GGGAAUGUGGCUUAGUGGUAGAGUGCUUGCCUAGCAUGCAUGAAAUCCUGGGUUCAAUUCCUCGGUACCA
rnacentral:tRNA from 1 species